ensembl:lncRNA
UUCACUACAGCACCCCCUAUCAGUCAUCUAGUGUAUUUAGAUGGCUGAGUGGUGGGUUCACUACAGCACCCCCUAUCAGUCAUCUAGUGUAUUUAGUAGUAACAGAACCCCACAGUAGAGGUGUAGACAUAAUAAAUGUAGUAACAGAACCCCACAGUAGAGGAGGGGUAGUACCAAGAUGGCUGAGUGGUGGGUUCAACACAGCGCCCCCUGUCAGUCAUCUAGUGUAUUUAGAUGGUUGAGUGGUGGCUUCACUACAGCACCCCCUAUCAGUCAUCUAGUGUAUUUAGAUGGCUGAGUGGUGGGUUCAACACAGCGCCCCCUGUCAGUCAUCUAGUGUAUUUAGAUGGUUGAGUAGUGGCUUCAACACAGCGCCCCCUGUCAGUCAUCUAGGGUUUAUCUACAUCAUUGGUCUUCACCUGUGUACAUCUUCAUAAUCAGACUAUAGAGUAC